AUUCCAGGUGAUGAAAAUUGGAUUUAAAACUCACGACGGUCAUCAGAGACUUUGUGUCGUUGUUGAUUCGAAAUCUAUUUUUUCUGAUGGUG